rnacentral:rRNA from 1 species
AACGAACGCUGGCGGCAUGCCUAACACAUGCAAGUCGAACGAGACCUUCGGGUCUAGUGGCGCACGGGUGCGUAACGCGUGGGAACCUGCCCUUAGGUUCGGAAUAACUCCCCGAAAGGGGUGCUAAUACCGGAUAAUGUCUUCGGACCAAAGAUUUAUCGCCUUUGGAUGGGCCCGCGUUGGAUUAGCUAGUUGGUAGGGUAAAAGCCUACCAAGGCGACGAUCCAUAGCUGGUCUCAGAGGAUGAUCAGCCACACUGGGACUGAGACACGGCCCAGACUCCUACGGGAGGCAGCAGUGGGGAAUAUUGGACAAUGGGCGAAAGCCUGAUCCAGCAAUGCCGCGUGAGUGAUGAAGGCCUUAGGGUUGUAAAGCUCUUUUACCCGGGAUGAUAAUGACAGUACCGGGAGAAUAAGCGCCGGCUAACUCCGUG